rnacentral:rRNA from 1 species
UACGUAGGGUGCAAGCGUUGUCCGGAAUUAUUGGGCGUAAAGAGCUCGUAGGCGGUCUGUCGCGUCGGCUGUGAAAACUCGGGGCUCAACUCCGAGCUUGCAGUCGAUACGGGCAGGCUAGAGUUCGGCAGGGGAGACUGGAAUUCCAGGUGUAGCGGUGAAAUGCGUAGAUAUCUGGAGGAACACCGGUGGCGAAGGCGGCAUCCUGGACCGAUACUGACGCUGAGGAGCGAAAGCCAGGGGAGCAAACGGG